GUACCAAAGAGUUCCCAUUCAUUUGGGUGCUGGGAAUACAGCAUUGAAUAGGAUAAAAGAGAUUUUUUUUUUCAAAGAACUGGUAAUAUGGAAGAAAUGUAAAUAAAUAGAAAUACAAAAAAAAAUUUGAUAUGAUAGAACAACAUAGAUGGAUGAGAAACGAAAUGUUUUACUUACAGUGGACAGAAUGAUAUUUGAGUUGCCCAGUGAAGUUUUUUUAAUCAAGGAAAACCAUAGUGAAGAGUUUGGGAAUGCUUAUGUUAGUUGUUCUCCUAGACUGAAUCAGUGGCAUAUACAAGAAAGAAUAUGAAGUCCAGAUUAUAGUGGAUAAAGGUGAAAGAGGUGCAACAGAUGUGGAAACCUGGGCAGAGACCAUAUUAUCCAGGCUUUUGUCAACCAAGAUAAGGAGCUCAUGUUUACUUCAUGUAAAAGAGAAGGCAAUUGAAGGGAUCUAAAAGCAGGGGGAUGAUAUGAUCUGAUUUAUAUUUUAAAAAUAAUCACUCUGACUCUUAUAUGAAAAUCAGAUUGUAGUAGACAUGAAUGAAAGUAGGAAACCCAGAGAGAAGGUUUUUAUCAUAAGCCAAGGAACAUAUUAUCUUGACUUUAUGGAGUGGUAAUACAGAUAGAAGGAAUACCCAGAAUUCACAUAUAUUUUGGAUAUAAAAUUGGUAGUAAUGGUAGUUCAAUUACAUGCUCAAAAUAAAGAUGGAAUCUAAAAAUAACUCCCAGAAUUUUUGGCUUGAAUGACUCUGUAAUUCAUGGGGCCAAUGACAAAAUUUAGGAAGACAAGAAGUGAAUUUGUUUAUCAAAGGCUGACAUCCUAACUUCUCUACUAAUGGACAACAGAAAAGGAUAACAGAAAUCAGAGUCUUAUAGAAAUUCUUACAUGAGGUGUGUUAGGGGCUGUCUUAGUCAGGGUUCUUCAGAGACACAGAGCCAUUUGGUGAGAGAGAGGAGCUUUUAGCAGGAAUUGGCUCAUAAGAUUAUGGUGGCUGAGAACUCCUACGAUCUGUUGUCUGCAAGCUGGAGGAAAACUAGUAUUGCAGUUCUGUCUGAGUCCUAAGGCCCGAGAACCAGGGGAGAUAAGAUGUAAAUGCCAGUCUGGAGUCAGGAGAAGAUGAAAUAAGAUAUUCCAGCUGAAACAGUCAGGCAGAAAAAAAGGGAACAAAUUUCCCCUUCCUGUUCUUUAUGCCUUCAGUGUAUUAGAUGUGGCUUAAGUAUACUGGGGAAGGCAAUCUACUUUACUGAGUCCAUUGAUUCAAAUGCUAACCUUAUCUGGAAACACCAUCACGGACACACCCAGGAAUCAUGUCUCAUCUGUGCAUCCUGUGGCCUAGUCAAGUUGCCAUAUAAAAUUUACCAUCACAGGGAUCAUUUGGAAAACAUAGCUACAUUUUGAUUUUUUCUAUAUAUCAAUACCUGAGUCAAUGAAGGUCACAAGAGACAUGAUACAUUUCGGAAAGAAAAGUUCGGUCAGACUGAUCAUUUUAUAUAUUUUAGCUUUCUAGAAAUUAGAAAAAAUGUAAAGGCUCCACUUCAGUUAGUUCAUUCUUGGCUGAAGUAUGAUGGAUUCACUUACUGGAAAUAAUAGUUAGUGGAAAUGAUGAGAUAAUAUCCCGAAACCUUUAUGUAUGCUUACGUAAAAGUAGAAAAAAAAAGGCACAUAUGGCUUUCUCUAUAAACAUAAUACUUUGUCCAGAAAGCUUUCCUGAGAUAUACCCUUUCUCUUUGGACUGAAUACUAAAUCUCAAGAGAAGGAACAUUUGGUCUUUGUGGUUUAGGUAUGAUAAAAAUUACAGAAGAAACACACUCAAACAAAUCAUUUUUGUUGGUUUAUUGCUUCUUACUGAUAAAGUUAUCUGGUUGUUUGGAAGUUUAGGGUUUUGGCACUUAAUUAAUGUUGGGUGCAUAGAAUUGAAGCAAUAUCCAUCGGGAGAGAAAAGUCUUAUGUAGAGUAAGUAUAAGAAAUUCUUAUAUUAAAAGGUUAUUGAUGAGAAUGCAUCUAAUCUGUCAUGCACUUAUCAUGCUAUAAGCCCUGUGCUACAUGUGUGGGGCUUGGAUAAAGAUAGAAAGACAUCCUUGUUUUUCAGAGAUUACUGUUUUCUGCAGUAGUUUGACAUAGCUCUUGUUUUUAAAAUAAUAGCAUUGUGUGUGUGUGUGUGUGUGUGUAUAUGUUUUAGUACUUUCAAAUUGCCAUAAAAAUACUGAUUCAAAAUAAUGAAUGCUUAAUGAGUUUACAGAUAGAAACAUAUUUAUUGAGCUACACCAUAAAAAAAAAAUGUAGAAUUCAAUCGGUCAUUAUGGUGAGAGAUGGAACAUACAAAGGUGGUAUCACAAGUGCAAGGCAGGAAGACCUGAAGAUGCAGAGUCUAGAAAAUACAUUGUGUGUGUCUUAAAACCUGGUGGGAAUAAAGUAAAAACAGAAAAUU
ensembl:lncRNA